UAUCUCCAAGGAUUGUUUUUCUCGCAAAAUUUUUCCUGCGAGGAACGGAAUGGAAUCAGGCUGCCUGCAUGGCAGUUGAUAAUCAUUAUUAAAAAGGAAUCG
rfam:Vibrio sp. C7 DNA, contig: contig00001, strain: JCM 19233.